rnacentral:rRNA from 1 species
UACGAAGGGUGCAAACGUUGCUCGGAAUUAUUGGGCGUAAAGCGCACGUAGGCGGCUUGGCAAGUCGGAUGUGAAAGCCCUCGGCUCAACCAAGGAAGUGCAUCCGAAACUGCUGAGCUUGAGUACUUAAGAGGAUCGCGGAAUUCCCGGUGUAGAGGUGAAAUUCGUAGAUAUCGGGAGGAACACCAGUGGCGAAGGCGACACGCUGGGCCAUACCUGACGCUAAAGCGCGACAGCAUGGGGAGCAAACGGG